rnacentral:rRNA from 1 species
UCGGAUUGCAGUCUGCAACUCGAGUGCAUGAAGCUGGAAUCGCUAGUAAUCGCGGAUCAGAAUGCCGCGGUGAAUACGUUCCCGGGUCUUGUACACACCGCCCGUCACACCAUGGGAGUCGGGAAUGCCCGAAGCCGGUGGCCAAUCGAAAGAAGGAGCCGUCGAAGGCAGGCCGGAUGACUGGGGUGAAGUCGUAACAAGGUAAC